UUUCAGAAGUGCAAGAUGGGGGAAAUUUCUACAGGCAACAACUUUCUGAGUAUACUCUUAAACACAAUUGAUUCUCUAUAAAAGAAGAGGCAACAUAGCCACUUGUUCAGAGAUCGAAGAGGCACCGCUUUCUUAAUUUCAAAAGCCAAAUUUUCCUGAAUAAAGUUCGUUGGCAUUUUUCAGACGCAAUCUCAGCUUUUUUGGAUAUCGCGUACAACUUUGUCAAAGAUCUCUGACAAAGUUGAAAACGCAUAAAUCUUACUGUUCUAAUUACACCACAGUUGCUGACAAGAGUAAAGACACGUCACCAC
rnacentral:lncRNA from 1 species